GGGCCGCGGGCACCAGUGAAAUCCCAUUCUCUGGCUGGAGACCCAGGUGGCCUCAAAUGAGAGAGAUGCUAUAUCGUGGUACCAAAAGAAGACUGGGGAGUACGAUCAGCAGAUACGGAAAAAGUCAGUUGAACAGACUCAGAUUAAGGGUUUCAAAAACAAACCAAAAAAGACAGGUCACAUAAAGCCAGACUUGAUUGACAUUGACUUAAUCAGAGACUCAACAUUUGCCAAAGCGAAACCUGAAAUUCCGUGGACGUCUCUGACUCGGAAGGGGCUUGUUCGAGUUGUAGCUUUCCCAUUGCUCAGCAAUUGGUGGAUUCAGGUUACCUCUUUAAGAAUUUUUGUCUGCUACUGCUUUACCUCAUGCAAGUUAUAGCGGUUGUCUUAUACUUGCUGAUGCCCAUUGUGAACGCGAGUGAAGUGCUUGGACCCUUGUGCCUUAUGCUGCUCAUGGGAACUGUCCACGGCCAAAUGGUAGCCACUCAGAUUACCCCGCCCGCCGGAAACAAUGGAAACCGAAGGAGAAGAAAAUUACGAAAAACUGUCAAUGGUGAUGGGAGCCGAGAAAAUGGAAAUAAUAACUCCUCUGAUAAACUUAGAGGAGUAGAAACUUUGAAAUCUACAUCCAUUGUUGGUGGUUUUGGGGAGACUAUCUUUGGCAACAGGAUUAAAAGAGUAAAAUUAAUAUCUAACAAAGGGACUGAAACCGACAAUGACUCAAGUCUUCAUCCUAUCAUCAAGCAGCGACAGUGUCGCCCAGCGAUUAGAAUGUGGCAAACAAGAUAGAAAGCAAAAUUUUUGGAUGGAGAAAAUGGCCGUAGGGAGGCUUUCAGGCGUUUGACCUGUCAAGCGAGGAAGAUGGUGAAGCUCGGACGCAGAUGCUGCCGCUGCGCAAGAGUGUGGAGGCGGCCUCCAGUGACAACGGGUGUGAGGUUAAGAACAGAAAGUCGAUACUUUCAAGGCACCUCAACUCUCAGGUAAGGAAAACCACUUCCAGGUGGUGUCAUUUCGUGCGGGAUUCAGAUAGCCUGGCGGAAUCGGAAUUUGAGUCAGCAGCCUUCAGCCAGGGCUCCAGGUCUGGUGUGGGUGGUGGCUCUCGCAGCCUGAUUAUGUCAAGAAGAGACUCAGAAAGCACCCGCCACGACUCGGAGACUGAGGAUAUGUUGUAGGAUGACUUGCUGCAUGGCCCGGAGUGCUGGUCGUCUGUAACCAGUGAUAGUGAGGGAGCCCAUGUGGAUACGCUCCACUCGGGGACCAAGCGCGACCCCAAAGAGGAUGUUUUCCAGCAGCACCAUUUAUUCUGGCUUCAGAACUCAAGUCCCGCCUCUGAUCGCGUUAGUACAAUAUUCUGGGAAGGGAAUGAGUGCAAAAAGAUGGAUAUGUCUGUGUUAGAAAUAAGCGGCAUCAUCACGAGUAGGGUUAACGCAUAUCAGCAAGGAGUAGGUUACCAGAUGCUGGGAAACGCUGUCACCAUUGGAUUAGCGUUUUUCCCUUUUUUACAUCGACCUUUCCGUGAGAAGAGCCUGGACCAGCUGAAGUCCAUUUCAACAGAGGAGAUCUUGACUCUUUUUUGUGGGGCACCACCUGUUACCCCUGUUGUUAUUUUGACUAUAAUUAAUUUUUUUUGAAAGACUGUCUUACUUGGAUUUUGUUUGUUUGUUUUUUAUUUUUUUUUUUUAUGAUGUGUGUGGCAGAGAGAACACAUAAACAGAGAUUUUUAUUUGCAAAACUCUUCAGCCAUACUACUUCUGCCAGGAAAGCUAGGAAGUAUGAAAUACCUCAUUUCAGACUCAAAAAGGUGGAGAAUAUUAAAAUAUGGUUGUCACUGCGUUCCUUCUUAAAGAGACGGGUCCCCAGCGUUCAGUGGAUGUGGUGUGUCCUUGGUCUUCUUGCUGACGCUUUCGAUUGCUUUCUUCUGCUGUGCCCAGGUUCUCCAAGGACAUAAAACUUUCCUGAAUGAUGCUUAUAAUUGGGAGUUUUUGAUCUGGGAAUCAACUUUACUACUUUUCCUACUGCACCUGGCCUCAUUGGGGUCUGAAACUAAUAAGAAAUACAGCAAUGUUUCGAUUUACUUACUGAACAGAUUAAUUUAUAUCUUAAGAUGGAAAAAAAGCCAAAUAGGAAAGAACAGCUCACUUUAGUAAACAAUGUAUUAAAGCUAUCCACCAAGUUGUUGAAAGAGCUGGACACACCAUUUCGACUCUAUGGACUGACAAUGAACCCCUUGAUCUACAAUAUCAAGAGAGUCGUUAUCCUUUCUGCUGUCUCAGGUGUUAUAAGUGAUCUUCUAGGGUUUGACAUCAGACUGUGGAAGAUUAAAUCAUAAGCCGGGUGAAAAGCCUAGACCUUCCCUGGCUGGUGUACUUACCCAUUAAGGAAGGAGAUGACGGCAGAAACCAGGGAGAUGCCCACCUGCUAGUUUACCUGCACAGGUGUUCUCGGCCCUGCCACAUUGAACGAUGGCAUUCCCAGAGGAGUGAGUCCUUUUCCAACUAGGUGUGUACAUUACAAACCUGCGUUUUCAUGGUUUUCAAAUAAUAUGAAUAGUCAACUGACUAAAGACUGUGUGUGUUAUGGUAACACAAGGACAGUUUUCCGAGUUAGGAAAUUUAAAUUCUGAGCCCUUCCAUACUGUUACAGGUAUAUUUACUGGAAAUAGUCUUUUGGGUAACUAUGGUAGAGGCCCAAAGCAUGAAGCAAAUAUCUUUUAUUGGAAAUAUGCAAAUUCAGUACUUUUCUAUUACAGUCUAUAGAACUGGAGAUUUCAUUUCUCUAUCAAAGAGAGAUCAAACAAGCUAUUUUAGGCUGAAUCCAAAUAAAAGAACUUUACUGG